rnacentral:rRNA from 1 species
UACAGAGGUCCCGAGCGUUGUUCGGAUUCAUUGGGCGUAAAGGGUGCGUAGGCGGCUUCCUAAGUUUGAUGUGAAAUCCUGGGGCCCAACCCUGGAACUGCAUUGAAUACUGGGAGGCUAGAGUACUGGAGAGGAAACUGGAAUUUACGGUGUAGCAGUGAAAUGCGUAGAGAUCGUAAGGAAGACCAGUGGCGAAGGCGAGUUUCUGGACAGUUACUGACGCUGAGGCACGAAGGCCAGGGGAGCAAACGGG